rnacentral:rRNA from 1 species
CCCUUAGAUGUUCUGGGCCGCACGCGCGCUACACUGAUGAAUUCAACGAGCACUAACCUGUGCCGAAAGGUUUGGGUAAUCUUGUGAAAUUUCAUCGUGAUGGGGAUUGAUUAUUGCAAUUUUUAAUCAUAAACGAGGAAUGCCUAGUAAGCGUGAGUCAUCAGCUCACGUUGAUUACGUCCCUGCCCUUUGUACACACCGCCCGUCGCUCCUACCGAUUGAAUGUGCCAGUGAAAAGUUCGGAUUGGAGAUAGGAGACGGCAACGUAUCCUAUUUCCGAGAAAAUCUUUAAACUUUCCCAUUUAGAGGAAGGAGAAGUCGUAACA